AACGCUGGCGGCAGGCUUAACACAUGCAAGUCGAGCGGGCGUAGCAAUACGUCAGCGGCAGACGGGUGAGUAACGCGUGGGAACGUACCUUUUGGUUCGGAACAACACAGGGAAACUUGUGCUAAUACCGGAUAAGCCCUUACGGGGAAAGAUUUAUCGCCGAAAGAUCGGCCCGCGUCUGAUUAGCUAGUUGGUGAGGUAACGGCUCACCAAGGCGACGAUCAGUAGCUGGUCUGAGAGGAUGAUCAGCCACAUUGGGACUGAGACACGGCCCAAACUCCUACGGGAGGCAGCAGUGGGGAAUAUUGGACAAUGGGCGCAAGCCUGAUCCAGCCAUGCCGCGUGAGUGAUGAAGGCCCUAGGGUUGUAAAGCUCUUUUGUGCGGGAAGAUAAUGACGGUACCGCAAGAAUAAGCCCCGGCUAACUUCGUGCCNGCAGCCGCGGUAAUACGAAGGGGGCUAGC
rnacentral:rRNA from 1 species